CGUGUAGGCGGAUUGCCAAGUCGGGCAUGAAAGCUCCUGGCUAAACUGGGAGAGGUUGUUCGAAACUGGCAGUCUGGAGUGUGACAGAGGAGCGUGGAAUUCCGCAUGUAGUGGUGAAAUGCGUAGAUAUGCGGAGGAACACCAGUGGCGAAGGCGGCGCUCUGGGUCACAACUGACGCUAAGACGCGAAAGCAUGGGUAGCGAACG
rnacentral:rRNA from 1 species